rnacentral:lncRNA from 1 species
CAAAGGUUUGUUGGAACUUAUUAGUAACGGCUUGUCUAACGAUGCUUUCAAGGUUGGGGCAUAUGUUAGCAUAGUGGUUUGGACUGAGCUGGGCAGAGGUUGGGUGUAGAUAAUUAAGGAAAAGUGUUAAAGAGAGUGACCACACAAGUAGGAGAUUAAGCCGACCCAUUUACUUCGUUUUUGCAGAGGGAGAUAGAAAAGGGAAGAGAAUAAUGCAGAGACUUAAUUUGAAAGUACUGAAUGAUGGUGCUUAAGUGGAAAAGUAUGAGGGAAUAUAUAAGAGAAGAGAAGCUACUAAGUAAGCGUGGGUCAUGAAUGACUCACGAGCUAGCUAGCAAGUUGUCUU